rnacentral:rRNA from 1 species
UACGUAGGGUCCGAGCGUUGUCCGGAAUUAUUGGGCGUAAAGGGCUCGUAGGCGGUUUGUCGCGUCGGGAGUGAAAACACCGGGCUUAACUCGGUGCUUGCUUUCGAUACGGGCAGACUAGAGGCAUGCAGGGGAGAACGGAAUUCCUGGUGUAGCGGUGAAAUGCGCAGAUAUCAGGAGGAACACCGGUGGCGAAGGCGGGUCUCUGGGCCGAUACUGACGCUGAGGAGCGAAAGCGUGGGGAGCGAACAGG